GACGAACGCUGGCGGCGUGCUUAACACAUGCAAGUCGAACGAUGAAGCCCAGCUUGCUGGGUGGAUUAGUGGCGAACGGGUGAGUAACACGUGAGUAACCUGCCCCUGACUCUGGGAUAAGCGUUGGAAACGACGUCUAAUACUGGAUAUGACUACUGGUCGCAUGGCCUGGCGGUGGAAAGAUUUUUUGGUUGGGGAUGGACUCGCGGCCUAUCAGCUUGUCGGUGAGGUAAUGGCUCACCAAGGCGACGACGGGUAGCCGGCCUGAGAGGGUGACCGGCCACACUGGGACUGAGACACGGCCCAGACUCCUACGGGAGGCAGCAGUGGGGAAUAUUGCACAAUGGGCGAAAGCCUGAUGCAGCAACGCCGCGUGAGGGAUGACGGCCUUCAGGUUGUAAACCUCUUUUAGUAGGGAAGAAGCGAAAGUGACGGUACCUGCAGAAAAAGCACCGGCUAACUACGUGCCAGCAGCCGCAGUAA
rnacentral:rRNA from 1 species